UUUGAGGGGCUUUAUCGUUUCUCGGAGGACGGUGUCAGUCGCGGACGAGAUCUUUUGCGCUAUACUUCGGCGAGUUCUCAUGCGAGCAGCUUUGCGGCCAACCUGGCACCGAGAACCAUGCUGUUUAUGGUCGAAUGGCCACAGGCCUGAUGAAAGUCGCAGAAGGCGUUCUCGUUGUAAUUCAGAUUACGAGUCCAUGUAUUUUGUUGGGGUCAAAAAUAGACGCGACGAAGUUAACAUCCAAAUAUCCGCAAAAAUCAGCAUGAAAACUUUUACGAAACGUAAUCCUUCGUAAA
rnacentral:lncRNA from 1 species